AUUAAAACGAUGCUGGAAUCGAUUUUUUCCCAGCUCUACAAGACAUCUGGAAAUAAAGAGAAAAUAUAAUAUUGUAUAUGUUGACAUCUGACAACUUAAGAAUCUCCUAGUUCAACGCUUUCUUAUUAAUAAAGUACUUGUUGACAUGGGCAGUAUUGAAAAGGCUUGCAUAUCAGGGUUUCUCUGCCGUCUAUGUUCGGAAAUGCACAGAACUGUAAUUCAUAUAUAUAGUGACCACGGCCAACGUCUAUGCCUUGUUGAAAAAAUUAACGGCUACCUUCCAAUAACUGUACGUAUUAAAUCAAUUUGUAAAUAAAAUGUUUAAGGUAACAUACGCACGUUAAAAUAUCAAAGUGCCAUGUCGUUGCGAGUAUAUUAUCAAUUUUGCAUUAUGUACAUAAAUAUUUACAUAUAUACACACAUUUGCAUUUUUAUAGAAUGUUUUGAGCAUUAAUAUUGGGUUUGUUUAUGUAUGUAUAAAUGUACGCUUAUUAUAUCCUCGUAAUGAUCAUGAUUACACAGUUUCUGAAAGUAUUGCACAGAUUCUAUACAGAUGUUAAUAUGUGCUUGACAUCGAAUUGGGUUUUAUUAACCAAAAAAUUAAUCCCCAAUUGUGGGAAAAAAUAAUGUGACAAGUGAAACAAAUAUAAAACAAAAUGUUAAACCUUAAUGUCCAGAUAUGUAAAUUAAUACGAUAGAAUAAUACAUAAGGAUUAAUUCCAAAUAAAUAUUUGAAUUUUUCAGAUUUCUCCGACUGAUCCGUUGCCAAAAACCAUAUGCAGAACAUGUUUACAUCGUGUAGAGCAACAUUAUUCUCUUUUGAUGAGGCUUACACAAAUGAGAGAGGAGCGAAAAAUUAAAGGAUUUGAGUACAAGCCAAGCAGAGAAACGGUGAGUUAAAGGUACAUGCCAGAGAUAAGUACAUAUGUACAGACAUACAUAUGCAAAUACUCUUAUCCUUUGGACCAAAGGGAGCACAAGUCGAAAACAAGGUCACAAUCAACACAAGCAAGUGCAUUUUCAGAUGUCACAACGUAUGAUGCUGUGGCACUGUUCUCCUAAAAGCUAGGAAAUAAAUGUUUGUACUUGUUUUAUCAAAAUCAAUUUAUCGUUCUGGCUAUUAGAUAAAUCUUUACUCUUAUCAUGGAGUACUGGGUACAAAAAGAAUCGCAUACCACUUUUAUUUUUAAACAUAGAAAGGUGCCCUUUUUUGUACUCAAAGUAUUAAUAUCAAACCAUUUUUCAUCACUUUACAGGCAAAUGCAUCAAUAUCCAGCGUGGAAUGCUCUGAUGAGGAAGAUAACACAACAGAGCCCGUAGGCAAAACAAAUAGACGACAUGGAAGACCCACCUCCGAGUCCAUUAAAUCGAAAAAUACUGCCAAAACUCAUCGAAACAGUAGUGAAACUAACGAUGAAAGUGGGUCUGGAUCAAGGAUUAGAGAAGAAAAAGGGUCUGGAAGUCGUGGGACAGGACAGAGCACUCCAGCACUAACGUAAAAUAAUGACUGUCAGACUAGUCAAUGGUUUAAAUAUCAUUAUAUGUAUAUAAACAUAUUUAUACAUACAUAUAUAUAUAUAAAAAAAUAUGUGAACAUUUGGAAAGUAUGAGUAAAAUAGGCCAUUUAUGAAAAUCGAUGAACCUACAACAACCUUCCAACCAUUUAAAAUCAAGCAAAAAAGGCUGGAAAGCUUGUACUGUUCACAAGCUACUGCUCGCAAAGAUCGAUCAUUCAUUUAACAGAUAAAUCAUAUAAAACAGCUGUAGACAUUUUAAGUUACAUCUCGAGAAUUUUGAACGAACUAGACUUAAAAAAUUAUUGAAAAAUUAUAUCGAUACAGAUUAAGCUGAAACUUGUAAAGAUUGUUUGGAUUAUCUUAAGUAAUAAAAUAGAUUUUCUCUCAUUCCCCUUUUAGUACAAAUCUUGCCCAAAACUACUGACAUUAGCCAUUUACAUGGUUUUUAUUAUUUGUAUAAUAUGUAUUUGUAUAUGUUUAUAAAGCGUAGGCCAGUAUUUGUGCCUGAAACUAUGCCCUGAAACGGAUAGAAGUGGGCAGUGUACUCAGGGUACCUGUUGGCUUCUAAUGGUCGUCGAGAAUUCUGUGGGCCAGUUCUGUAUGCGAAUUUCCGCUGUUGCAAUAUUCUGCCGAUCCGUAAUUUAUUGUGAUCGUCUAUCGUUUUUGAUGCAAUAAUUCAUGGAUCGGAUUUUGAGAAAUGGAUCGUGAAGAAAGUACGAUCCAUUGCACUCGUGCCCAAUUCAUUGCUUUUGGCUUAUAUCGAUAGCUUAUAUAUCGACAAGAACACGCGGAAAAAGAACGUAAACGAAAACUAAUAAUUUAAAAAAUCUAAAAUUCCGCUAAAUACUUCGGUUUUAUGGAAAUGCUCCAAAUUUAAAUGACCGAGCUUUACGUUUCAAUAUCGGUCGUUUCUCAGCCGAUUGUAUUCAACAGUUUCGACAGUAAGGUAUGGAUCGGACGCUUUUACCUACAAUCAAAUCCCGAUCGUUGCAAUGGAUAGUGGAUCGGUGAUCAAGCCAUCCUGGUGGGUAACACACAGAAAGGAAACGUUUCCGACUUUAUAAAGUAUAUCCCAUUGAGCCCCCGAAAAGGACAAAAAUCUCCCACAUCCACAUCCACAUCCACAAAGAUAAAACUAAAUUAUGCAGCUCUAUGCAACUAUUUCCUCGAGCAAAUAGCUGUAUACAUAUGUAUAAAAAUAAAUCUAUAUACAGAGUACCGGGUAUAAAAGUUGUGAUGCGUCGUUCAACGUUCCCCCUCGUUAGACCUGGGUGAAAGCUAUUUUGUCUUCUACUCUUUUGCGUGCGAGCUUGUGACCACCCAAAAUAAUUAUUUAAUAAAAAAAUUAAAUCCGGAGAAACAGAAACAGGAAUAACGUUGUGAGUCUAUUACUAAAAAUACUUUUGUCCACCUUGUUCAGUCAGUAUAUGUACUGCCUCGUCUUUCCCCGUUUCUCACGAGCCCAGUCGCGCUGAAGCCGAAAUUUAACUCCCCGUAGGCUAACUCUAUCGGGGAUCGUGACUCCUUGCUAAGGACGACCACCACUAGUUCGUGGGGCUUUGCGUUGCAUCAAAUUUAACGAUCUUCUAAUCUGCCGUUGGAAAGUGCGGGUUGCACCGCUGUAACAUAGUGAGGAGUCAGGCACCCAUAUUUCGCACUCGGCCUACUGGGAACUUCGCGCCAGUCUACUGCUUUCUACAACUGAACGGAGCUCUCGUCCAUUUAGAUGACGUCCAGUGUCGCCGUCAUUCCACUUCCAUUGGCUCCUCGGAAACCUGGGUUUCGCACCGCUUCUGUCGAUGAAGUAUAUCAGCGUCCUCUCCUUGGCAAUCUGCGCCAAGGUCACAUUUGGCAGUAAUCUGGAUCGUUUUUGCCUACAGUCCAGUCUUCUCCUGAGAGCGCUUCUUUUAGGGUUGCUAGGCUUGUUCCUGCAGGACCAAACUAAAAUUUGGAAGCAGUCGGGCGGCCCAUAUCACCUUGAAGGGCUGCCGAAUUUUUUCGCUAGCUGUUCAGUUAGUUUAAAAACCUAAGUAGACAACGUAUAUAUAGUUUAUUUGUGACAACAAAUGGGUCGGAAAAGAUCGAGAGUGCGAUGCGUAUACGCAGAUCUGGUAAACCAGACCAAAGAUUUGAUUAAAAUAAAAUUCGUUUGUUGUUUAUUUUCUAAUCCAUAAAAUAAUUUUUUUAUUUGGAAGAGAGGUAAAUUUGAGCAAUAUGUACAUGUGUAUGUACGCAGACCUAUUUGGAACACUGUACUGGGUUAAAGUUGAAUUUUCUUAAAUUCAGAUAGUAUUGCACGAUCAGAAGCAACUGGAACUGGAAAAGGAAAAUCAAAAUGUCUCUUUAUUUUCGAACGACAUUUUAUAUUGAUAAUGUGGGAUAUUAUUAAUUUAGAAACAAAAAUACGCUUCGUACUGAUGUAAAUACAUUUGUAUGAUGUAUGUACAUGUAUUUCUUAAAUUACAAAUGCAUGUAUGUACAUACAAAUGUUAAAGUUAUGCAUAGAGUGGAAAUGUGUAAAAUUGUAUCACUCUAAAUGUACAUACAGAUAUGUAUAUACAUAUGUAUGAUUGCUAGGCUAGGCGAUAGUGAAAAAAUAUGAGUAACACCACCACCCAAAAUUACAACCCAUGUGCAGAAAAUCGAUAUUCUAGUCAAACUACAUGUACAUAUCAGCUUGUAGUGUCUACCUCGUGCUUACGUAGAAAAAUGAAUUUUUUUAAGUGCAAUAUAAAUAAAUAUAUCUACACAUAUGCAUAAAUAUGGUUGGAUUGUUACAUUCUUGUAUACAACAGAGUGAUAUUUAACCUAUUGCUUUUUUAGCCUAAAUUGGUUGCUCACUGUGUGGUAGGCUAGACAAUUAUUUAAUAUCUUUCUUUCUUUUUGUUUUUGCUGAAUUUGUGUACAUAUAUGCGUACAUGCAUAUGUACAUACAUGUGUACAUAUGUAUGUGUGAACUUGUGGAUACUAUUUUCGGAGGCUAGAUUCAACGUUUUGUAAUGAUCGAUGGUAAAACUGGAUAAUUAACAAUGCAUCUUGUUCGUAGUAACUUUUUCCAACGUGAUGAGUAUUUGAGAUCGCCUUCAACAAAGAUUGGAGUCCAACAACAGAAUUUCCAUACGUCGUACAGGAGCUAUCACACCAACAUGAAAGACGCGCAAGCUGAAAAAAAUGUAAAUAAUACAUUGGUUAAGCAUAACCAAAAUGUAACAUUUGUCCGGAGUAGUGGAAUCACUAAUGGAGCUGUUUUUCAUGAGAAUGUUAUUGAAAAUGAGUGGAACUUCCCUCCAAAGGUGCCAGCUCCGCACAUCUACCAUUGCAUUAACCCAGUAAGUCAGAAAAUUAAUGAAAUCUAGCUUCGGUGCACCGAAGUGCAUAUAACUUUGAAAAAUUGUGGAUUUGUUAUCUAUUCCGAUCGUUUUUAUAACUAUAACUAUGAUUUGAAUGUGUUUUGGAACCUCGAAAGAACCUCAUUACGAGGAUUUUAACGUUGCCCUGUUGAUGUCUAGAUGUAAAUAUCGGGGACUACUCAAGCGGCAGCACCCUUUGGUCGGUUGGGAUGUGUCUCUAACUAGGAACUGACUGGGCUUGGUGGCGCAUGGGCCCCUUGAUGGUUCAGUCAUUGUAACUGACGUUAUCAGAUGCUUUUAGAGCGUCUCUCACUGUCUUUCGUUCUCUCUAGUAGGGUAGCUUAAUAAUAAAGUGUGGGGUUUCAUUGCAUGUACAUACAUACAAUGAAAUUAAAAUUUACAUACAUAUGUACAUAUGGCAAAAAUUAAUUUUAAUGUUUCUUUAUUUUUUCAGGACUUACUGGUGGGAAGUGAUAAGAACGGCUUCAAAGGACUCCGUAAGCAAUUUAGUGGGCGAUUUAAGCGCUUAGUUACUCGAAAAGUAGAGCACGGCCCAGUGAUACCCCCGGAAUUAAAGCCACAAUUAAAAACAAUUUACGUUUACUAAUUUUAGAAGAAUCACUAUUUGCGUAUAUACAAUAUGUAUGUAUAAAUGUACUUGUAUGUAUUUUUAUAUAUUGUAGAAAACUUUAGUGAUAAUAAAAGCAAGAUAAACUAAGCUACCUUGUUAAUUGACAUUUCUAAUUAUUAAGUUCAUCAUGCUUAAU
rnacentral:lncRNA from 1 species